AGCGAACGCUGGCGGCGUACUUAACACAUGCAAGUCGAACGAGGAUCGCUACGUGAGCAAUCAUGCGGCGGUUCUAGUGGCGUACGGGUGAGUAACACGUGGGCAACCUGCCCUGGAGCCUGGGAUACCCUCUCGAAAGGGAGGCUAAUACCGGAUACGUUCCCCGGGUCGCGAGAUCGUGGGGAGGAAAGGUGGCGCAAGCUGCCGCUCUUGGAGGGGCUCGCGGCCUANCAGCUAGUUGGUGAGGUAAUGGCUCACCAAGGCUAUGACGGGUAGCUGGUCUGAGAGGACGACCAGCCACGACGGGGACUGAGACA
rnacentral:rRNA from 1 species